GGAUUUCUAUUGCCAUAAGCCAUCUUAAUAUGGUUAAUUCUUUCCUUAACUCCGUCCGAGUUAGCAGACUACAUAAUCAAUAAGACAAUUGUUGAUGUCAAGCAUCGAAACCAUCAAGGACAUACAGCACUCGACCUAUAAAGCAAAAGCCACUUGUGAAAACGACCAUAUUCGAGUUAUGUUGUUGAAAUCCGGUUGUCCAGAUAGCCCUAACAUAUCAGAACCUGGAUCUUUGACUAUUGAACAUGAUGCUAACAAGUUUCCUCAUCAGCAAGAACAGAAUUGCAUCAUCAACACAAGUAUCAAGGCAAGAGACACAAUCGACGCAAUAAACAAUAUGAUACGCAUAGGGAGGCACUGCAAAUUGCUUGAAACACAAUCAUACUAGAGCCAUUCUGAUCGCCACCGUUACUUUUACUGUUGGUUUGAAUCCCCCUGGGGGUUUCUAUCGGGAGGGAACACCAAAAUGCCAGUCAACAGUUGGUAGAAAUUUGGCUUUUAAGAUCUUUGCUAUUAGUAACAGCAUUACAUUGUUCACUACUCCGUGCAUUGUAAUUAUUUUAGAGAAAAAACUAAUGAAGCUAAGGGUUAUCAUUCACAAGGACAUGUGGGUGGCAGUGUCUGGCAACAUCUUUUGCUGCAACCACAUGGGUGAUCAUGCCAAAUGCUUACAAAACAAGAUGGAUGCUUGAGGCUAUAUUGGCUAUUGGUGCUGGGAGCAUGAUAACAGUGUUUAUCUAUCCGGGAGUUCAGUUAUUUAGACACUGGCUAAGGAAGCUGAAAUGGAAGAAACAAAGAGGCAAGAAGAGUAGGAUUGUUGCUGUCAACAGGCAAUUGAAAUUACAACCUUCUAAAACCUUGAUUACAAAACAAAUCGAACCUUAUCCAGUGCUAUUCAACAAUCAAUCAGACUCAUCCAACUCUGAUGUUGAAAGUGCAAAAUCCUUUGGGUAUCACACCUACUAAUGGUGAAAUCUGCUUGUUCCUGAUCUGCCCAAUAAUUUCAGAAAUAAAUUGUCCUUUUUUUUCCGAUUCU
rnacentral:misc_RNA from 1 species